rnacentral:misc_RNA from 1 species
GACGAAGGUGGCAAGCGUUGUUCGGAAUCACUGGGCAUAAAGCGCGCGUAGGCGGUCCGCUAAGUUGGAUGUGAAAGCCCUCGGCCCAACCGAGGAAUUGCGUCCAAUACUGACGGACUUGAGGACUGGAGAGGUGUAUGGAAUUCCUGGUGGAGCGGUGAAAUGCGUUGAUAUCAGGAGGAACACCGGAGGCGAAGGCGAUACACUGGCCAGUUUCUGACGCUGAGGCGCGAAAGCCAGGGGAGCGAACGGG